UGGGGAAUUUUGGACAAUGGGCGAAAGCCUGAUCCAGCAAUGCCGCGUGUGUGAAGAAGGCCUUCGGGUUGUAAAGCACUUUUGUCCGGAAAGAAAUCCUUGGCUCUAAUACAGUCGGGGGAUGACGGUACCGGAAGAAUAAGCACCGGCUAACUACGUGCCAGCAGCCGCGGUAAUACGUAGGGUGCAAGCGUUAAUCGGAAUUACUGGGCGUAAAGCGUGCGCAGGCGGUUUGCUAAGACCGAUGUGAAAUCCCCGGGCUCAACCUGGGAACUGCAUUGGUGACUGGCAGGCUAGAGUAUGGCAGAGGGGGGUAGAAUUCCACGUGUAGCAGUGAAAUGCGUAGAGAUGUGGAGGAAUACCGAUGGCGAAGGCAGCCCCCUGGGCCAAUACUGACGCUCAUGCACGAAAGCGUGGGGGAGCAAAACAGGAUUAGAUACCCCUGGGUAGUCCACGCCCCUAAAACGAUGUCAACUAGUUGUUGGGGAUUCAUUUCCUUAGUAACGUAGCUAACGCGUGAAGUUGACCGCCUGGGGAGUACGGUCGCAAGAUUAAAACUCAAAUGAAUUGAC
rnacentral:rRNA from 1 species